AAUUCUUAAGUAACACCAUUUAUUAGUAUAAGCCAACAUCAUGUUAUACAAAAUUUUAGUGAGCAUUUUACAUACAUUUUUUCCAGUCCCAAAGUCCAACCUGUGAAGUGGAUCGAAAUGUAACUCUCAUUUUACUGAUGAAGAAAAUCAAGACUUAAAAAAGUUUAAUAAGCACAUUGUCUGCUUGAAUCACAACUGAGCAAUUGAAUGUCUUAUGAGAACACUGAACUCUUUGAAAUAUCCUUUAUAAAAAAAUUAAAGUUCUCACAAAAUUACAUUCGUGGUGUGAAUACUCCCCUUUAAACUAUCAACCUUUCUUAAAUCUAUAUACAGGCUUACAAGAAUCAAUAUCAUACAGCGACCCUCUUACUUGUGGGGAAAAAAACAAGAGAUUUUUAAACUGAAGAGAAACUGAAAUUGAGGGUGCUCACAGACAACACACAAAAAAACUGUUUAUACAAUACUGCCUCUACCUGAUUCACCUUAUUUCAAUUCUAAAGCACUAUGAUACAAGAGAAGCCCAAUCUUUUCCCUCCUUUUGGUCGGCUUUACUCUGACCUGUAUCAAAAUGGCAUUUCCAUGUCAAUAUAAAUCCAUUAUUACAUAACUUCAAGAUAACCUUCAUACUCUUAUUUCGAAAACUGUAUUUAAAAAUCAAUACUGAAAACAAAAGGAGGGCAGCAUAUUUUAAUAUGAAGAAGGCUGGUGCCGCCUAGAAUGAAUGGAGAGAUCCCUUACAGCAUCCCUCCCAAUCGGAAAGGGGACCAGACGGUGAAACUCAUCACUAGCUCCAACAAGCAGGAAAGAUGCUUUAAAACCAAAAAAGUGGCCACUCGAUAAACUCAAGGAGGGGUGGGGCCCGUUCUUUUGGCGGCUGGCACUAGACUACCAGACAGAAAAGAAAUCCGUUGGUGGCCGGCACCUCGCUCCAAGAGUGGGCGCAGGCUACUUUCAAGGCGCAGCCUGGAGGCACUUGAGUCCUCGGCCCCGGAAACCUACUGAGAGGUGGCUCUGGAGGCCCCGAGGAGACAAGGGCCUCCGGGCCGACCGAUCCUAGCCCUGGCUAAGACAGGAGCCCCGUCAGGGCCCGGGGCGAUUCGCUCCCAAACUGAAACGGAAGCCAAUAGACAAAGUGGGCGACAAAAAAUAAAAUAAAAUUCCCGGAGGACCGCUCCGGCCGUGGGCCCGGCCUCCCCCGGCUCCUGGUUCACAGGUUUUUCCGAGGCCUUGGAGGGGAAGAGAAGCCCGAGCCGCGUGCCCGUCCCCUCCCCCACCCCGCCCCGUCUCCCCACCCCCCCACCCCCCACCCCGCUGGGCCUCCACAGCGGCCCUGGCUUCUCCGCCGCCGCCUCCUCCUCCCGCAGCUGAGGUAGCAGGUCGAGCGGUUUCUUCACGCGUUCGGAAGCGUGGACUCACCCGCCGCUAAGAAAACGGUACUGUCUUCGCGGCCUCUGGGCGUCAGGUGAUGGAGUGGGGCUCCACCGGUUCGAGGUGUCUGCGCGCCGCCCGACUCCAGAGACUGGUUCCGAAGCGCCUACUCGCCUAGGCCGCAAAACACAGCCGCGCUGCGCGGGGAGCUCCUGGAGGGCUUCCUCUUGCCCGGCGUGCAAUGCGCCAGGAGGCGUGGAAAGGGAUAACCAUAGAGAAGGUGAUGCCUAGAUAGUCUCCGCCGUCGCCUCUGACUCACUAAGUACAGAGGGAUGACCAUAGAGUGGGAUUGUCUAGUGGGGCCUAGAGAGGCUCGAGCUGUAAAUUACCACCCACCCUGCCAUUUUUGAUUGGAGCCGAUUGAAUCUUAUGACUGUGCGACGCCAUCUUGAGGUCAAGGUUCCGGCUGGUUACUCGCGCGGGGCUUGUUACAGGUUUUCUCACAUUUUUUGGUAGUUCGUUUUCCAGGAAUUAGAACCUUGGUCUCCUGAUUCUUGGAGGUUCGAUGACCUGAUACCUGGGCGGUACCGAGAACCUCAAUAGAAAGCCCAGAUGUCAUUUGUUCUUCGCAA
rnacentral:lncRNA from 1 species